rnacentral:rRNA from 1 species
ACACAUGCAAGUCGAGGGGAAACGACAUCGAAAGCUUGCUUUUGAUGGGCGUCGACCGGCGCACGGGUGAGUAACGCGUAUCCAACCUGCCCACCACUUGGGGAUAACCUUGCGAAAGUAAGACUAAUACCCAAUGAUAUCUCUAGAAGACAUCUGAAAGAGAUUAAAGAUUUAUCGGUGAUGGAUGGGGAUGCGUCUGAUUAGCUUGUUGGCGGGGUAACGGCCCACCAAGGCGACGAUCAGUAGGGGUUCUGAGAGGAAGGUCCCCCACAUUGGAACUGAGACACGGUCCAAACUCCUACGGGAGGCAGCAGUGAGGAAUAUUGGUCAAUGGACGAGAGUCUGAACCAGCCAAGUAGCGUGCAGGAAGACGGCCCUAUGGGUUGUAAACUGCUUUUAUAAGGGAAUAAAGUGAGUCUCGUGAGACUUUUUGCAUGUACCUUAUGAAUAAGGACCGGCUGAUUCCGUGCCAGCAGCCGCGGUAAUACGGAAGGUCCGGGCGUUAUCCGGAUUUAUUGGGUUUAAAGGGAGCGUAGGCCGGAGAUUAAGCGUGUUGUGAAAUGUAGACGCUCAACGUCUGCACUGCAGCGCGAACUGGUCUUCUUGAGUACGCACAACGUGGGCGGAAUUCGUGGUGUAGCGGUGAAAUGCUUAGAUAUCACGAAGAACUCCGAUUGCGAAGGCAGCUCACGGGAGCGCAACUGACGCUGAAGCUCGAAAGUGCGGGUAUCGAACAGGAUUAGAUACCCUGGUAGUCCGCACGGUAAACGAUGGAUGCCCGCUGUUGGCCUGAAUAGGUCAGCGGCCAAGCGAAAGCAUUAAGCAUCCCACCUGGGG